rnacentral:tRNA from 1 species
AAAAGAGAAGUGUUUAAAUGCACAUUAGGCUUUGAAUCUAAAGGAGAAAAUUAAAAUUUCCUCUUUUA